AAAAAGAAAAUAGUUUUUCCGUAGACAGUGGGUGCGAAAGCGUAAAAUUAAAUUGCCCGCCUAGGUUAUAUAAUAGAUGAUAUUAUAGAUCUUCCUUGUCUGCGGGAAGAUCUUUUUAAAUAUAAUA
rfam:Clostridium saccharobutylicum DSM 13864, complete genome.